rnacentral:tRNA from 1 species
UGCCGGGGUAGCUCAGUUGGUAGAGCAGAGGACUCAUAAGCCUCGUGUCGGCGGUUCGAUCCCGCCCUCCGGCAA